rnacentral:rRNA from 1 species
AGAGUUUGAUCCUGGCUCAGGACGAACGCUGGCGGCGUGCCUAAUACAUGCAAGUCGAACGGAAUCCAUCCGGUGGCAACACCGGUGAAGAUUUAGUGGCGAACGGGUGCGUAACACGUGAGCAACCUGCCCCGAAGAUCGGGAUAACACCGGGAAACCGAUGCUAAUACCGGAUACCCCCACUGAUCCGCAUGGAUCUAUGAGGAAAGGUUUUCUGCUUCGGGAGGGGCUCGCGGCCUAUCAGCUUGUUGGUGGGGUAAUGGCCUACCAAGGCGACGACGGGUAGCUGGUCUGAGAGGACGAUCAGCCACACUGGGACUGAGACACGGCCCAGACUCCUACGGGAGGCAGCAGUAGGGAAUCUUGCGCAAUGGGCGAAAGCCUGACGCAGCAACGCCGCGUGGGGGAUGAAUGCCUUCGGGUUGUAAACCCCUUUCAGUGGGAACGAAAUUGACGGUACCCACAGAAGAAGCCCCGGCCAACUACGUGCCAGCAGCCGCGGUGAUACGUAGGGGGCGAGCGUUGUCCGGAUUUAUUGGGCGUAAAGAGCUCGUAGGCGGCUUGGCAAGUCGGGUGUGAAACCCCCAGGCUUAACCUGGGGACGCCACUCGAAACUGCCAUGGCUAGAGUCCGGUAGGGGAUCACGGAAUUCCUGGUGUAGCGGUGAAAUGCGCAGAUAUCACGAGGAACACCAGUGGCGAAGGCGGUGAUCUGGGCCGGUACUGACGCUGAGGAGCGAAAGCGUGGGGAGCGAACAGGAUUAGAUACCCUGGUAGUCCACGCCGUAACGUUGGGCACUAGGUGUGGGACCCUAUCGACGGUUCGUGCGCAGCUACGCAUUAAGUGCCCCGCUGGGGAGUACGGCCGCAAGGCUAAACUCAAAGGAAUUGACGGGGCCCGCACAAGGCGGCGGAGCAUGUG